AUUCACCAUAGCAUGGUGAUGGAAGAUCCAGAAUGAGUUUUUCAGUUUUAAGUGCAAGCAAUAGGAAAAGCACUGAGAGGGAUGCUCACCUAUUUCAAGACCCAAAAUGCAAGGAAUUGAUACAAAUGAUGACCAUAUGCUGCUAGAAAAUGCAGAAUGAUUAUUCUAGCUUGAAGUGCAAGCAAUAAGAAAAACACCGUGAGAGAUGCUCAAGUUCUAUUUCAAGAUUGGAAAUGCAAGGA